CAGCCGCCGCGGUAAUACCGGCGGCCCGAGUGGCGGUCACUAUUAUUGGGCUUAAAGCGUCCGUAGCCGGGUUGGGAAGUCCUCCGGGAAAUCUGGCCGCUUAACGGUCAGAAUGCCGGAGGAUACUCCCAGCCUAGGGAGCGGGAGAGGCCGAGGGUAUUCCCGGAGUAGGGGGGAAAUCCUAUAAUCCCGGGAGGACCACCUGUGGCGAAGGCGCUCGGCUGGAACGCGUCCGACGGUGAGGGACGAAGGCCAGGGGAGCAAACCGGAUUAGAUACCCGGGUAGUCCUGGCUGUAAACGAUGCGGACUUUGUGUCGGACAAGCUAUGAGCUUGUCCGGUGCCGGAGGGAAACCGUUAAGUCCGCCGCCUGGGGAGUACAGCCGCAAGGCUGAAACUUAAAGGAAUUGGCGGG
rnacentral:rRNA from 1 species